rnacentral:tRNA from 1 species
GGUCCCAUAGCUCAGUUGGAUAGAGCAUCUUCCUUCUAAGAAGGCGGUCGUUGGUUCGAAUCCAACUGGGAUCA